rnacentral:rRNA from 2 species
CGCUGGCGGCAUGCCUAAUACAUGCAAGUCGAACGAACCAUCCUGAUGAUUGAAGCUUGCUUCAUGAUUCAGAUCUUGGUGAGUGGCGGACGGGUGAGUAACACGUGGGUAACCUGCCCAGAAGUGGGGGAUAACAUUUGGAAACAAGUGCUAAUACCGCAUAACAACUUAGAUCACAUGAUCUUUGUUUAAAAGAUGGUUUUGCUAUCUCUUCUGGAUGGACCCGCGGCGUAUUAGCUAGUUGGUGAGGUAAUAGCUCACCAAGGCGAUGAUACGUAGCCGACCUGAGAGGGUAAUCGGCCACAUUGGGACUGAGACACGGCCCAAACUCCUACGGGAGGCAGCAGUAGGGAAUCUUCCACAAUGGACGAAAGUCUGAUGGAGCAAUGCCGCGUGAGUGAAGAAGGUUUUCGGAUCGUAAAACUCUGUUGUUGAAGAAGAAUAUAUGUGAGAGUAACUGUUCACGUACUGACGGUAUUCAACCAGAAAGCCACGGCUAACUACGUGCCAGCAGCCGCGGUAAUACGUAGGUGGCAAGCGUUGUCCGGAUUUAUUGGGCGUAAAGAGAAUGUAGGCGGUUUAUUAAGUUUGAAGUGAAAGCCCUCGGCUCAACCGAGGAAGUGCUUCGAAAACUGGUAAACUUGAGUGCAGAAGAGGAAAGUGGAACUCCAUGUGUAGCGGUGGAAUGCGUAGAUAUAUGGAAGAACACCAGUGGCGAAGGCGGCUUUCUGGUCUGUAACUGACGCUGAGAUUCGAAAGCAUGGGUAGCAAACAGGAUUAGAUACCCUGGUAGUCCAUGCCGUAAACGAUGAGUGCUAAGUGUUGGAGGGUUUCCGCCCUUCAGUGCUGCAGCUAACGCAUUAAGCACUCCGCCUGGGGAGUACGAUCGCAAGAUUGAAACUCAAAGGAAUUGACGGGGGCCCGCACAAGCGGUGGAGCAUGUGGUUUAAUUCGAAGCAACGCGAAGAACCUUACCAGGUCUUGACAUACCAUGAAAAGCUUAGAGAUAAGUCUUUCCCUUCGGGGACAUGGAUACAGGUGGUGCAUGGUUGUCGUCAGCUCGUGUCGUGAGAUGUUGGGUUAAGUCCCGCAACGAGCGCAACCCUUAUUAUCAGUUGCCAGCAUUCAGUUGGGCACUCUGGUGAGACUGCCGGUGAUAAACCGGAGGAAGGUGGGGACGACGUCAAAUCAUCAUGCCCCUUAUGACCUGGGCUACACACGUGCUACAAUGGUCGGUACAACGUGCUGCGAACUCGCGAGGGCAAGCAAAUCACUUAAAACCGAUCUCAGUUCGGAUUGUAGGCUGCAACUCGCCUACAUGAAGCUGGAAUCGCUAGUAAUCGCGGAUCAGCAUGCCGCGGUGAAUACGUUCCCGGGCCUUGUACACACCGCCCGUCACACCAUGAGAGUUUGUAACACCCAAAGUCGGUGGGGUAACCCUUCGGGGAACUAGCCGCCUAAGGUGGGACAAAUG